rnacentral:rRNA from 1 species
GACGAACGCUGGCGGCGUGCCUAAUACAUGCAAGUCGAACGCUUCUUUCCUCCCGAGUGCUUGCACUCAAUUGGAAAGAGGAGUGGCGGACGGGUGAGUAACACGUGGGUAACCUACCCAUCAGAGGGGGAUAACACUCGGAAACAGGUGCUAAUACCGCAUAACAGUUUAUGCCGCAUGGCAUAAGAGUGAAAGGCGCUUUCGGGUGUCGUUGAUGGAUGGACCCGCGGUGCAUUAGCUAGUUGGUGAGGUAACGGCUCACCAAGGCCACGAUGCAUAGCCGACCUGAGAGGGUGAUCGGCCACACUGGGACUGAGACACGGCCCAGACUCCUACGGGAGGCAGCAGUAGGGAAUCUUCGGCAAUGGACGAAAGUCUGACCGAGCAACGCCGCGUGAGUGAAGAAGGUUUUCGGAUCGUAAAACUCCGUUGUUAGAGAAGAACAAGGACGUUAGUAACUGAACGUCCCCUGACGGUAUCUAACCAGAAAGCCACGGCUAACUACGUG